CCUACGGGGGGCAGCAGUGGGGAAUAUUGCACAAUGGGCGCAAGCCUGACGCAGCCAUGCCGCGUGUGUGAAGAAGGCCUUCGGGUUGUAAAGCACUUUCAGCGGGGAGGAAGGCGUUAAGGUUAAUAACCUUGUCGAUUGACGUUACCCGCAGAAGAAGCACCGGCUAACUCCGUGCCAGCAGCCGCGGUAAUACGGAGGGUGCAAGCGUUAAUCGGAAUUACUGGGCGUAAAGCGCACGCAGGCGGUCUGUCAAGUCGGAUGUGAAAUCCCCGGGCUCAACCUGGGAACUGCAUUCGAAACUGGCAGGCUAGAGUCUUGUAGAGGGGGGUAGAAUUCCAGGUGUAGCGGUGAAAUGCGUAGAGAUCUGGAGGAAUACCGGUGGCGAAGGCGGCCCCCUGGACAAAGACUGACGCUCAGGUGCGAAAGCGUGGGGAGCAAACAGGAUUAGAUACCCGAGUAGUC
rnacentral:rRNA from 1 species